UACGUAGGUGGCGAGCGUUGUCCGGAUUUACUGGGCGUAAAGCGCGCGCAGGCGGCAGUCUAAGUCCUCUGUGAAAUCACCCGGCUCAACUGGGUGGCUGCGGAGGAGACUGGGCAGCUUGAGGGGCCUAGAGGCCGGUGGAACUCCCGGUGUAGUGGUGAAAUGCGCAGAUAUCAGGAGGAACACCGGUGGCGAAGGCGGGUCUCUGGGCCGAUAUUGACGCUGAGGAGCGAAAGCAUGGGGAGCGAACAGG
rnacentral:rRNA from 1 species